UGGGCGCGCGCCGCGCUGUCAUAAAGACGUGUGUGUUGAAUCGCGCCAUUUUUACGACUUAAAAUACAAAGUUCGGAAAUUAGUGCAAGUGAUUGUGUUGUGUUUGAAAGAUAAGCCUGUAAGGAAACUACUGGCACAUGAUAAAGUUGCAUAAAAAGCGAACCGAAUUCGAAAUUCAAAAUAUUUUAUUCUGCUCAAA